rnacentral:rRNA from 1 species
UACGAAGGGGGCUAGCGUUGCUCGGAAUCACUGGGCGUAAAGGGUGCGUAGGCGGGUUUUUAAGUCAGAGGUGAAAUCCUGGAGCUCAACUCCAGAACUGCCUUUGAUACUGGGAAUCUUGAGUAUGGAAGAGGUGAGUGGAACUGCGAGUGUAGAGGUGAAAUUCGUAGAUAUUCGCAAGAACACCAGUGGCGAAGGCGGCUCACUGGUCCGGUACUGACGCUGAGGUGCGAAAGCGUGGGGAGCAAACAGG